GUGUCGCCGGUCGCAACCAGUGCAGUUUACGCUGGGCGGACCGGAGCACAGCAUUCACUACCCGGAGAGUGUAGCGGGACUGGACUGAAGUCCGAUACAGCAGGGUCAAGACCGGCAUCCCCGAGUGACGCCAACAGCGUCACCAUGCUUCACGGCUGGAUACUGGCUGUCCUAGCAGGACAUCUCGUCCACGGUCUGUUCGGUCUGGGGUGCCCUCUGCCCGGCGCCUGUGUGCGUCUCUCUGCGUGUGACCGGCUCCUGUCGGAGUCCCCCGUCUGUCCCGGUGGGCUCGUCUGCUGCGUCUCCGGCGCCGGUACCCCGUCACAGGGGGCUGGAGAACUCCGCCGGCGCAGGCAGGCACAACUCCCCGCGUUGGAUCUCUCUUCAUUGGGCCCAGGGGGUUCACAGGAGCCACUUCCGCCAAUUGCCGGAGGGUUGCCAAUUGACAGGAGCCAGGGCCAGGGCAUAAUCGGAACGCGGCCUUCCGGUGGGCUAAACUUUGAUCGAAUCCUGGGAUUUCUUCAAAGACCUCGAGGCUAGAAACGGGGGACUUUGAUGCUGAACGUAAUUGAUGCAAUAUUCUUUCUAUGAAGGUCGGUUUAAAAAGCAAAGCAUCUGCACAUGGCUGUAACAAAUUGUCUACCUGAACUAAAACAGCACGAAUGAUACACGACCGUUCGUUUAAAGCGGGAUUAUUUUUGCAAGACUUUCUUGCCUAGAAUAGAGGACAUAAACCUGUCAUUUUCUUUGUGUCCUGCUUGCAAGUUCAGGCCAACGCUUCAUGGCUAUAGGUUGCAAGAUGCGUUGCUGUGAAGCCUUAUAGCUCCGAAGUAAAAUGACAAGUUCGCGAGACUUCUGAGUACAUGAAUGAAACCGUUAUGUAUGUACCAUUGAGUAACCUCCUUUGUGACUGAACCGCUGAACAAUAAGAUAAUUUGGAUGUA